CCAAAAUUGAAACGUUUAUUCUCUUCGUCGUUACAGUUUGUCGUAAAUCCGAUGUAGGGAUCUAUUCCUUGAUUUGAAGCAAGUCGUUCAUCUGUUUGAGGGACUGCACACCGCGUCCCUUUAUCAGGUAUAUAAUAUAAAGAUAAACCUCCCCAAGAGGUCUGGGUUAUAGCAUGGUCCCGAUCACGACAAUUACUUGAAGGAUCUGUAGCAACGAGCAAAUACAACACAGAAAGAGUAUAACCAGAAUCAGCCCAACGUACUCCCUCGAAACACCCCUUUCUUUUCAAAUUGAGCAUGGCACUAUUAUCAAGAAACCGAAACUGAGCAGCUGGAUCCAGACAGUUGUUGGAAAGUUCCACAAAAUAUAAGCUUCCCCAAGCCGCAUCCACUUGUAGUAUUCCUGUGUCAUUAAUGCACAUCUCUGUCUGCACAUGUUUCACAAAGAAACAAGCAGCACCUGAAACAAAAAUAAAAAUAAACAACGAAGUAAACAAUGAAUCCCGUUGCGUGUCUGUUUAAUGCUUGCGUUUAUUACGC